rnacentral:lncRNA from 1 species
GUUAUACAACCAGGGCCACAGGAUGAAAAUUCUGGGAAAUUGAUUUCCUUAGAAGCAGACUUUAACUAAUUAUCCACUAGAGUGGUGUUAAGUGUUCCAGCUUCCUUCCUUAGAUGGGACAAUACUGAGGCAUGUACUGAACAUAUCCAGGAAGCUCUGAUUAAUUCCCAGCAGUCCCUUGCCUGAUACUUCACUGAUUGCCUUCUCUUUCCACUACAUAACCCUUCUCACAAAUUCCAAAAUUGCUUCCAAAAUAGGCAGCUUAUACUGUGAUCCAUAUCUGGUGGCUUUUAUGGGACACCAAACCAAGAAAACAGCUUUGACUACUUUGUGGAGCUGAAAACCAACCUUUAAUUUCUCCUAUGUUUCUGAACUGGUAUAGAAAUGUGGCACUUCUGUCACACAGGAGUAUUGAAAGUCCAUGUAAAACUGUUUUGAAUUGUUUUUAAAGAGUCAUAUAAAAUAUCACUUUCAAAUGCAAAUUAAUUAAAAAAUUACAUAACAUACACACAUAGAGAUACUGCAUGCUGAUAUAGAAAAGUAGAAAGAAAAUAUUUUAUUUUAUAUUUAUUUUAAGAAAAUACUUUAAUAACCUGGUGGAAUAUUUAUAUUUAGUUUAGAUACUUAAUAAUGUUAUAUUAGAGAACUUUCAAUGCUGCUGCUCUGUCUUUUCUCUACUCGUAUUUUGCUUACUCUGUCUUUUGUUUUCACUCAUUUAAGGCUUGAACUGUUAGACCCUUGUGCUAGAGCACCAUUCCUAACAUAGUUUCAUUAGAUUUGAAAAACAAAAUAGUAAAGACUCUCUCAACAGUAAUUGCUCAAAAUUAUUUCAAAUGUAUCAUAGGUCAUUAUUAUCUUAUUUAAGUGAAUAUUUUGUCCAAACUGAAUUUUAUUUAUUCCACUUUAAAUCCAAUGUCUUUCCCCUUUCCAUUUUGGAAGUUUGGAAAUAAACAUGUUUGUUCUAUGUGUUGUCUUGUUCACUCUUUUCUCCCUUCCUUCUUUCAUGGUAACUGCAAAUUUUUGGUAAUCACUUCUUAUUUUAUC